UACGUAGGGUGCAAGCGUUAAUCGGAAUUACUGGGCGUAAAGCGUGCGCAGGCGGUUAUGUAAGACAGAUGUGAAAUGCCCGGGCUUAACCUGGGAACUGCAUUUGUGACUGGCGGGCUAGAGUAUGGCAGAGGGGGGUAGAAUUCCACGUGUAGCAGUGAAAUGCGUAGAGAUGUGGAGGAAUACCGAUGGCGAAGGCAGCCCCCUGGGCCAAUACUGACGCUCAUGCACGAAAGCGUGGGGAGCAAACAGG
rnacentral:rRNA from 1 species